rnacentral:lncRNA from 1 species
CCAAAUAGAGCGAGCGAGGAGAGAGGAGAGGAGGAGAGGGAAAGAGCGAGAACGAGAGACGGAUGAGUAUUUAUGAUUGUAAGUAUCGCAGGAUGGAUGAACAGACACUUAUAAAAUGAAGAAACUCGUUGUUUGAAACUAUUUUGCUAGAGGCAGAAUUAAAAAAAAAUCUUAAUCAAUUACGGAUUCUUCAAAUGCGCAUCAAGUAGGGAUCUACGCCAGAUGAAGAAUUAACGCAUUUUCCAAUGUAAACUCAACAUUUCCGAGUCAGAACGGUGCGUAGGCGAUGCACGCUGUUAAUGUGAAUGGACUCCGUGUCUCUCUCCUUUUGUUAACGCUGUUUUCAUCAAAUUAGCGCAGCCCCUACUACGCUGCACCCCCCUUUUCGGACGGCCAGCAGACAGCUAAGGACCUGGGUUCUAUCUAGAAGAGAGACCGCUCUCCUGUGGUCGAAAGCCUGACCUCUCACCUCUCAUUCCCCGCUCUAGGAGAGGAUCUCAUCGGUAUGAAAGCACCAGAAACAGCUAUUUUGUAGGGAACCCGUCUGGCAGGGAAGCAGCAACAAAUCCCCGUUUUCAGACUGUGAUUUUGGGGGACGCGGGCUCGCGGUAGGGGGGAGGGGGACCUCGCGUAUCACAAUGGAAUUAGAGUUUUACAAUACGUCCCCAGUGCGCUAAGGAACACAACCUUAUUCCGUACACUACUGUACUUUACCCUCUCAGCUGAAGUCUUUUUUCCCCUUAUUUUUUUAAACCACCAAAUCCGUGAUGCCGCAUUUCGUGGGGUGAAGGUGCCGAACGCGAGGAAAAGGAGAGAGAGAAGAGAGGGAAGGACGGAGGAGAAAGAGAGAUUCGGAGAGCAUGGAUCUUGCAACGUUGUCUCUCUGUGUGCUAACUCUCACCUGGGCAAACUUGUACCAGGUGUGUGCCAACAGGCACGCGGUGCAUUGGAACAGCUCCAAUAUACAACAGACAGAGGUGGAACAGAUGGAGAGAGAGACCAGAGAGAUGGAAUGGAGGGAGAUAGAGAACCGGGUGAGAGAGGGAGCAGAACCAGAAACGGCUCUUUUCCCUGUCUGUCCAUUCUGCGUAGGGAGGGCUACACGGUGCAGGUGAAUGUGAACGACUACCUGGACAUCUACUGUCCCCACUACAAUGACAGCCAGCGCGUGGUGGGCACCGGGGAGCAGUACAUCCUCUACAUGGUCAGCUACCGUGGUUACAGGACCUGUGACCCCCAGCUGGGCUUCAAGAGGUGGGAGUGUAACCGCCCCCACGCACCAAUCAAAUUCUCAGAGAAGUUCCAGCGCUACAGCGCCUUCUCCCUGGGCUACGAGUUCCACGUGGGCCAGGAGUAUUACUACAUCUCUACACCCACUCAUCACCACGGUCGCAGCUGCCUCAGACUGAGAGUGUAUGUCUGCUGCUCCACAGUGUCUGAUGUUAAUGUAGAACCAGGACAUCCAGAAACAGACUACACACUCAGACCAGACAUCAAAAUCCAGGACAUUGAUGAUUUUAACCCUGAGAUUCCUAAACUGGAGAAGAGUGUCAGUGGAAGCAGCCCAUCCAGGGAUCGCCUACUCAUCACCAUAGCGACGCUCCUUCUCGCUGCCAUCACCAUCUCCUAGCAACGGCCAUCCCAUCAGUGUCGCCAUACCAACCAGCCAUGGGUGGGCUUGGGCAGGAGGGGUGAAGGAUGACGAGGACUGAGGAUUUGGGGGAAAGGGGACAGGAGAUUAAGGGAACAUGGAAAAUAGGGAGUUAGAAGACCUUCUGAAUGACAUUGGUUGACAAGGGGUGUGUGUGUGUGUGUGUGUGUGUGUGUGUGUGUGUGUGUGUGUGUGUGUGUGUGUGUGUGUGUGUGUGUUGCUUAGAAGACGACAUUCACACAGAGCAUGAAGAGAAGACCUUUUAUGACUUUGGACAUUGGGCCUGCAUGUGUAGGUAUGUUUCAGAGUGUGUGUGUCUCAACAUGUGGUGGAGGUAGCCUGUUGAAACAUGCACACUGCAUACAGCAUUUAUUACAGAGGAGAAGAGGACCUGACUUUCUAUUGGAGCAGCUGAUCGCAAUGAAACACAGUGACACUUUUUCAUGCAAUCUGAUUGGCUGACACAAUUCUCUUCUUAGGGCUAGUUGCCUGUUUCUUGCACCGGAGACUGAACUGAUUGAACUUGACUGAAAUGAACUCAAUUAUUGCCUUUUUGUUCUGUCAACUGGAUUCAACCAGAUCUAGUCUGGAUCCCUUCUGUGGAACUGGAUCUAGUGGUCCUCCACCCAUGUGAUCUGGUCUGAUCUGGACCGUAGCAGCCUGGUAUGAAAAGCCAGUCUGGAUCCCGGUUUCUGAACUGGGAAGUGGGACCACCCAGUCUAAUGUGAGAGAGGGAGAGGGCGCUACAGUGCUGUAUCAGAGUAGUAAUAUGUGUCAAUACAAUGACAGCUAUAGGUUCCAGGUCAGUGGUUGUAUACAUUGUUAUACACAUUGAUACAACCUCUGGCUCAUCAUUAAACCCCCUAGAGACAUGUUUGUCCUUUAUUCAUUCAUUCCUGGAUAGCAUUAUCUCUGAUCUCAGAGGUCAGAAAAGCACACAGCAAUACUGUCAUCGAAUGCAUUGUAUUGGAUUGUACACUGAGGACCUCUCUUCCUCUCUCCUGGAAUCGGAUGGAAUGGGACUACAUACCACAGACUCUACAUCCUCUCUCCUGGAAUCGGAUGGAAUGGGACUACAUACCAAAGACUACUUCCUCUCUCCUGGAAUCGGAUGGAAUGGGACUACAUACCACAGACUCUACUUCCUCUCUCCUGGAAUCGGAUGGAAUGGGACUACAUACCACAGACUCUACUUCCUCUCUCCUGGAAUCAGAUGGAAUGGGACUACAUACCACAGACUCUCUCCUGGAAUCAGAUGGAAUGGGACUACAUACCACAGACUCUCUCCUGGAAUCAGAUGGAAUGGGACUACAUACCACAGACUCUACUUCCUCUCUCCUGGAAUCAGAUGGAAUGGGACUACAUACCACAGACUCUCUCCUGGAAUCAGAUGGAAUGGGACUACAUACCACAGACUCUACUUCCUCUCUCCUGGAAUCAGAUGGAAUGGGACUACAUACCACAGACUCUCUCCUGGAAUCAGAUGGAAUGGGACUACAUACCACAGACUCUACUUCCUCUCUCCUGGAUUCGGAUGGAAUGGGACUACAUACCACAGACUCUCUCCUGGAAUCAGAUGGAAUGGGACUACAUACCACAGACUCUCUCCUGGAAUCAGAUGGAAUGGGACUACAUACCACAGACUCUACUUCCUCUCUCCUGGAAUCAGAUGGAAUGGGACUACAUACCACAGACUCUCUCCUGGAAUCAGAUGGAAUGGGACUACAUACCACAGACUCUCUCCUGGAAUCAGAUGGAAUGGGACUACAUACCACAGACUCUACUUCCUCUCUCCUGGAAUCGGAUGGAAUGGGACUACAUACCACAGACUCUACUUCCUCUCUCCUGGAAUCAGAUGGAAUGGGACUACAUACCACAGACUACUUCCUCUCUCCUGGAAUCAGAUGGAAUGGGACUACAUACCAAAGACUACUUCCUCUCUCCUGGAAUCAGAUGGAAUGGGACUACAUACCACAGACUCUACUUCCUCUCUCCUGGAAUCAGAUGGAAUGGGACUACAUACCACAGACUACUUCCUCUCUCCUGGAAUCGGAUGGAAUGGGACUACAUACCACAGACUCUACUUCCUCUCUCCUGGAAUCGGAUGGAAUGGGACUACAUACCACAGACUCUACUUCCUCUCUCCUGGAAUCGGAUGGAAUGGGACUACAUACCACAGACUCUACUGCCUCUCUCCUGGAAUCGGAUGGAAUGGGACUACAUACCACAGACUCUACUUCCUCUCUCCUGGAAUCGGAUGGAAUGGGACUACAUACCACAGACUCUACUUCCUCUCUCCUGGAAUCAGAUGGAAUGGGACUGCAUACCACAGACUCUACUUCCUCUCUCCUGGAAUCAGAUGGAAUGGGACUACAUACCACAGACUCUACUGCCUCUCUCCUGGAAUCAGAUGGAAUGGGACUACAUACCACAGACUCUACAUCCUCUCUCCUGGAAUCGGAUGGAAUGGGACUACAUACCACAGACUCUACUUCCUCUCUCCUGGAAUCAGAUGGAAUGGGACUACAUACCACAGACUCUACUUCCUCUCUCUUGGAAUCGGAUGGAAUGGGACUACAUACCACAGACUACUUCCUCUCUCCUGGAAUCGGAUGGAAUGGGACUACAUACAGACUCUACAUGCCAAACUCUUCUGUGUAUUUUACCGUACACACUAGAACUAGAAUCACUCUGUGUGUGUGUGUGUGUGUGUGUGUGUGUGUGUGUGUGUGUGUGUGUGUGUGUGUGUACUGACAAUACACACAGCAACAUACUGUACAUGUCUUAAGUUUAAGUAACUGAACAAACCAAGUGUAUCUGAACAUAUAGACAACCCUAAAUAAACCUUGGGUUUAGGUUCUACAUACAAACCCAGUGUAUCUGGGAGGACAGGAGAACAAUGGGUUAAACUUUAUCCUACAGUCCUCUAUUGACAUGGUAUUUUCCUAAAACAGGUUUCUUUGGGAUCAUAGAAACAAUCAUUUUGGCAGUUACCCAUUGUAUAGGUACCAGAAAGUACAUAUUGUUGCCAUUACGUCUUAGUAAAUACUAGGUAAAUACUGUCUGAAGGAGGACUGUAAAAUGAAGUGUUACUGAACAAUGUGAACUGUACUGACCUGUUACCAUGGUUCUUGACUAACUCUUUUCACUAGAAACUGUCACCUUGUGGGCCAUGGUAACACCUUACCUUACUGCAAUGUGUACAGGCUGUCUACUGUAGUAGGGCAUGCAUGGCUGACUGUAGAAGCUCUGAAGAUGAUGAUGAUGAAGGUAUGGAUGGCCUAUCGGAUACAGAGCUGACGUCUGACCUAUAGGGGUCAAAGAGGUCGCACGUCUUGACCCGUGUCACAGACAUUCUAGAACUUUCACGCGUCGAGAAUGGAUUUUUCAGAUGUCUUGAACUCUGACGGAAUGAAAUGUGAUGUAAGCAUUUUUACAAACUUGAAGCUGAAUUUCCUUGUUGUGUUUGUAUUUUUUAUUUUGCUGUUGUGUAUCUUGGGGCGCUGGGAAGGGGUAAACGUUGGGAUGACUGGGCUAGAGACAUGCAGUACUGUAUAGGAUAAGGAGUUCCACUAACGUUGGGAUGACUGGGAUAGAGACAUGCAGUACUGUAUAGGAUAAGGAGUUCCACUAACGUUGGGAUGACUGGGAUAGAGACAUGCAGUACUGUAUAGGAUAAGGAGUUCCACUAACGUUGGGAUGACUGGGAUAGAGACAUGCAGUACUGUAUAGGAUAAGGAGUUCCACUAACGUGGUUUGAGAUUUACAAUUUCAAUAAGCACCGUGUUGCACCAAAUGUUUCCAGUCCGUCACAUUGGAAUGAUACUGUCAUUGAAACGUGGUGCCGGCAUGGAGGACAGUUGGCUGAGAUCAGUAUGUAUACAGUAUGUAUGGCUUUGUGGUGGGGGGGUGAGAUGGGGGUCUGGGUUCUGCUAGUGAAGUGUGUGUGUGGGGGGGU